rnacentral:lncRNA from 1 species
CUUCACUCUCUUUCUCCUGUUUGGCCGUGUACCAAGUUCCUGCCUGUCUUCUGUCUUCACCCGUGACUGUGCCUCAAGUAGUUGGCUCCUUUCCCACCGGCUACUUUGUAACUGCGAAUAUGACAACAUGACGGUGAUUCACAGAUGCCAAAAUAUGACGAGCAGAGCAAAUCUGUGUUCCAGAUAUGAUAAGGUGAGAAAAGCGGAACUCUCGGCCCCAGGUGAUUUCCAUGAAGACACCUACAUACGGCGGGCCUCACUAUCUGUACCAUGCAGCCGCCAACUCUAAUAACCUGGCCAGGAGAGAAACACAUCUAAAAAUGCAAAUGAAUGAAAAAAAUAAAACUGGGUUGCAUAGUAACAUCUUAAGCAGAUUUGAGAGAUGUAUGUUUGAAAAGCAUAAGCUUCAGCCUUGGAAAAUGCUUUCUGUUGUAUUCAACACAUAUUGGGCUAGAACUAAGAAAAAUACAUAGAAAUUAUGAAUGCCUUUAAAAGUCCCUUCUCCAAUCCACCAACCUUAUAAACAAUGCAAUAUUGAGUGAAAUAACAGCCUGUUUCUUAUUUUUAUCGUAAUAUUUGGAACCUUAUUUUAAAUAUACAUAUGCUUUAUAGAUUAUAGUUACACAUCAUUGGAACAGAGAAAAUAGAUUGUGAACAUGCGUCUUAGAAAGACCAGCUACACAAUCAUAUAAACCACUUCUCAUUCUUGCACCGCAGCACUCAGGAAUAAUAUAAUUACAAAUUAUACAAGACUGUUUUUACUGGUUGUACAUAUACAUUUUGUAUAUUGAACU